UCUUCUCGGCGGCACCAUUAGACAGCACUAACAAUAUCAAUAUCAAGAUCAAUACCAACGCCACCAAUACCAACCCUAACACUCAAUUCUUUGAUAAUGGACACUCCAAGAUUAUCACAUACCAAACGGUGUUGCAUAGAACAAGCAGCCCAAUCCAGGCCUGCCCAGACGACGAAACCAAACGAAAUUGAGCAACAACAGAAAGGAACAGCACUUACCCGUGAGGUGGAGAUUGUAGAAUUAUUGAGGAGAAUGAGAUGGCUUUCUGCAAGCUUUAUGGAGGAGGAUUUUCUCGGAAAAAUUCAGAGAGAAAGUGAGGGAAUUUGUGAGAAAGUGAUAUAUGGGAUUACUGCUUGGAAGUUGGAAAUGAAAAUGAAUUUUUCUUUUCCUUCCGUACAGUCCAACAGAUUAAAAAAAAAAGGGAAGGG
rnacentral:misc_RNA from 1 species